rnacentral:tRNA from 1 species
GCGAACGUAGUUUCAGGGUGAACACAACCUUUGCCAUGGUUGGGGUCGCGAGUUCGAAUCUCGUCGUUCGCU